UCAAACUUGGUCAUUUAGAGGAAGUAAAAGUCGUAACAAGGUUUCCGUAGGUGAACCUGCGGAAGGAUCAUUAAAGAAAUGAAAUCGACUGUGCGCCUUCGGGCCGCACGUCGACCACACACCUCGUGCACCUUCGACGGAGGUGGGGCGACCCGCCGCCGUCUGAUUUCACCAAACGCAUAAGUCUGUCUCGAAUGUUAAACCCAUACAUAACAAUACAACUUUCAGCAACGGAUCUCUUGGCUCUCGCAUCGAUGAAGAACGCAGC
rnacentral:misc_RNA from 1 species